ACGGAUCACGAUCGCUUGUCCAAGGAUCCGUCGGAUAAUAGACGUGAUUGUCCGAGUGAUGACACGGGGGAUGAUGCGGUCGGACGUGGGAAAGGGAAACACGGACACGAGCAGUUCUACUACUAGUGGUGCCUCAUUCUCAUUCGCUCGUUGUUUCUCGCAUUUCUUUCCUUAUUUAUCCCCGCUAUUACUACUACUACUACUAUUACUAUUACUACUAUUACUAUUAUUACUACUAGUACUAUUACCACUACUACUAUCGUUUCUUCUCCUGGUUAUCGUGUGUCAUCGUGUCCUUCUCUCGACACACCAGGUUCCGUCGUUCGACCUCCCACCACUGCUCGUCUCGUUAAACGGCCGAGAAACGUUCGUGCGCCUCCUCCGUUGCCCACGCGUGGUCCCCGUGCCCGUUAUCUCUCCCUGCUAUCGUUCCUGCUCUCUCCUCCUGUCUUUUCGUUCGUCUCCACGGAGGGUGUACACCUCCCGUUCAUCGAUCCCCACUGAGCGACGAGGCAAAAAGCCGGCGGUGUUUCUAGUUAGUCCUGUGAUUUUGGUUAGGAUGGUUGGUAAACGCGUGUUCAGAGGGAGGGACACGUUAAAACGAGCUCCCUCGUUUAAUCAGUGCUUUAAGACGAAACGUUUAGCUUAUAUAUACAUAUAUAUAUAUUAUAUAUAUAUCGAUAAAUUAUUAAAGGUAUAUAUAUAUAUAUGUGAGUGAGAGGAAGAGCGAGAGGAAGAAAGUGAGAGAGAAAGAGAGAGAGAGAAAGAGAGAAAGAGAGAGAGAGAGAGGGAGAGAGAGAGAAUUAGAGAGAAAGGGAGAAAGAAGAGAGAGAAAGAGAGAAAGAGAGAACACACACACCUGUUCGAGGUGCAAAACGCAACUUUAUUCCGUAAACAGGAUGUAUUCCGUGCGAUUUCUGUGGAUCGACGUGGUGAAGAAUCCAUCGAGGUAUGAGAAGCAGAAACAUUAAUAAUUACGUAGAUCUUUGAUGUUUUUCUUUUUUUUUUUUUUUUCUCUCUCUCUUCGUUUUUUUUUUUAUUUUUCCUUUUUUCAAUUUACAAUAUGUAAUUAGAAUAUUCUUAUUUUAUACUCUUAGUAGUUAUUAACACUUUUUUUACAGAGAGUGGAUAAUAUUAUGGAGAACGAGGUUUCCAUAAUACAUUCGCGUUGAAUUGCAAAUCUUGAUUCUCAUUUCAAAUUUUAGCGAUGUUUAAAUAAUCGUAAAUCAUUAUGUGUUUUAUUGUUUGAUCGGGCUUGCAUCGAUAUUAUUCGCUUGUUUUUUCACUCGUGCCUAAUUUGAAAAAAAAAAGAAGAGAAAAAGAAAAAAAGGGUGAGACUGAAUUGCAAAUAUUGCACAAUUCUCACGCAGCGAUUGUGCAAUCCGAGAACAGGUUUGCAAACUCGACGAACAAAUUACAAUAUCGCGUCUUUGAAUAUUCAAUGCAACAAAUUACUUAGAAGUUAAAUGAAUUGAUCUUAAAAAAAAA